AGGCUCCACAAGAACAAGGUCUACUACGUCAGCGAGUCCUUGGUGAAGCGAGCCACUAAUAUAAGCCGUAAGAAUUUGGCUUCACUCGGUACUUGCAUAGGCAAAUUCACGCAUGGAGGCAGCUUUCACUUGACGAUUCAGGCCUUGAAUCUAUUGGCUGCAAAUGCCAAACACAAAGUUUGGUUAAAACCCACUUCGGAAAUGUCGUUUCUUUAUGGGAAUCA
rnacentral:misc_RNA from 1 species